GGAUAUGAGCCUAUAGGAUCUGGAUGUGACAUCUGUCAUCCCACUGAUCGUCAGGGUUGAGUUAGCUGAUCUGACCAGAUAAGCAGGUGUUUGCUUCCUCCCUCACUGUUCUAUGUGCUUCUUUCCCAAACCUGCAUCUUCCCCAAACCUGCAUCCUCAGUGGAAGAAGAUGACAUUCUCUGAUAGAGGAGGACAGUUACAUGGUCAAGGUUAUAUGAGUAGCUGUUUUCCCCUGCUAGAACCUCCAAACAAAAGCCAGCUGUACCAUUUACCAGACACAAUAUUGAAAAUUGCAGGCAAGUCUCUUCCCUU
rnacentral:snRNA from 1 species